AGGACAAUACUUUCAGGGAUCAUUUCUAUAGAUUUCUUACUUGGAACUGUGUUUCAUGAAUGUUUGUUUCCCAACCCACGAUGAUGAGCUUUGGUGUUUCUUUUACAGCCUAAUCUGGCACAUAGUGGUGAUUCGUUCACGUGCUCUGUGCUAUUGAUGAAGUGUUCUUUAUUGGUUUAUGGAUAUUGAGGAAAGCAUCAUGAUCUAAGUGGU